AUUGAACGCUGGCGGCAGGCCUAACACAUGCAAGUCGAGCGGAGCGGCGGACGGGUGAGGAAUGCCUAGGAAUCUGCCUGGUAGUGGGGGAUAACGUCCGGAAACGGGCGCUAAUACCGACUCCUAUCAGAUUAGCCUAGGUCGGAUUAGCUAGUUGGUGGGGGAAAGGCCUACAAAGGCGGCGAUCAGUAACUGGUCUGAGAGGAUGAUCAGUCACACUGGAACUGAGACACGGUCCAGACUCCUACGGGAGGCAGCAGUGGGGAAUAUUGGACAAGGGGCGAAAGCCUGAUGCAGCAAGGCCGCGUGUGUGAAGAAGGUCUUCGGAUUGUAAAGCACUUUAAGUUGGGAGGCGUUACCAACAGAAUAAGCACCGGCUAACUUCGUGCCAGCCGCCGCGGUAAUAC
rnacentral:rRNA from 1 species